AACGAACGCUGGCGGCAUGCCUAACACAUGCAAGUCGAACGAGACCUUCGGGCCUUGUGGCGCACGGGUGCGUACCGCGUGGUAACCUGCACUUAGGUUCGGAAUAACUCCCCGAAAGGGGUGCUAAUACCGGAUAAUGUCUUCGGGCCAAAGAUUUAUCGCCUUUGGAUGGGCCCGCGUUGGAUUAGCCAGUUGGUAGGGUAAAAGCCUACCAAGGCGACGAUCCAUAGCUGGUCUGAGAGGAUGAUCAGCCACACUGGGACUGAGACACGGCCCAGACUGCUACGGGAGGGAGCAGAGGGGAAUAUUGGACGAGGGGCGAAGGCCUAAUCCAGCAAUGCCGCGUGAGUGAUGAAGGCCUUAGGGUUGUAAAGCUCUUUGACCCGGGAUGAUAAUGACAGUACCGGGUGAAGAAGCUCCGGCUAACUCCGUG
rnacentral:rRNA from 1 species